AGUGAACGCUGGCGGUAGGCCUAACACAUGCAAGUCGAACGGCAGCACAGUAAGAGCUUGCUCUUACGGGUGGCGAGUGGCGGACGGGUGAGGAAUACAUCGGAAUCUACUUUUUCGUGGGGGAUAACGUAGGGAAACUUACGCUAAUACCGCAUACGACCUACGGGUGAAAGCAGGGGAUCUUCGGACCUUGCGCGAUUGAAUGGGCCGAUGUCGGAUUAGCUAGUUGGCGGGGUAAAGGCCCACCAAGGCGGCGAUCCGUAGCUGGUCUGAGAGGAUGAUCAGCCACACUGGAACUGAGACACGGUCCAGACUCCUACGGGAGGCAGCAGUGGGGAAUAUUGGACAAUGGGCGCAAGCCUGAUCCAGCCAUACCGCGUGGGUGAAGAAGGCCUUCGGGUUGUAAAGCCCUUUUGUUGGGAAAGAAAAGCAGCAGGUUAAUACCCCGCUGUUCUGACGGUACCCAAAGAAUAAGCACCGGCUAACUUCGUG
rnacentral:rRNA from 1 species